AAUUUCACAGACUGCCAAGGUAACAAAGAGCAAUGAUGAAGAUUUAUUUCAUCAGUUUACUCCUGCUUAUGGCAUGCCUGUACCCAAGUUUGGCACAAGGUUCUUAUGAAAAUUGUUGCCUAAAGUAUAAUAAGGAGCCUAAGAUGAGCACCAAAAGAAGAAUUGUGGACUUCAGGACUCAGAUGAGUGAUGGAGGAUGCAACCGCUCCGCUGUUAUAUUCACUGUUAUGAAAAAGAAAUCAACGAUGACAUUCUGUGCUGACCCCACAAAGUCCUGGGUGAUGAAAAUGGUGAAAAGUUUAGAAACCAAGAUGGAAAACAACUGAUUGAAAUCAUUCCGAUUGUUUUUAUCUGUGUGGUGAUCAUGAUUUAAAAAAGAGAGAAAACAGAUAGUAGCUGAGUAUAUAGCUUAUAGCUGAGUGUUAGCAGUUCAUAAAUUUUUGACUGGAUUCUUUUCAGUUCAGUGUUUGCAAAUUACUGCAUUGUAAAAUAAUAGAGCUGUAUGUUCUAUACUUACACUUCUAAUGUACUGCUAAUUGCUGAGUCCCUCUGAUUUCAAGACUUUUCAUUUGUUUGAUUUGUUCUGUUUCACUAUAAAUAUAUGUAUGUUUAAUUUUUUUAUAUUUGAUACCACUGUAUUUUUUGUAUUUUUUAUACACGUUCCAUUGUUACA